ACCCGCUGAACUUAAGCAUAUCAAUAAGCGGAGGAAAAGAAACCAACAGGGAUUGCCCCAGUAACGGCGAGUGAAGCGGCAACAGCUCAAAUUUGAAAUCUGGCCCCAGGCCCGAGUUGUAAUUUGCAGAGGAUGCUUUUGGCGCGGUGCCUUCCGAGUUCCCUGGAACGGGACGCCAUAGAGGGUGAGAGCCCCGUACGGUUGGACACCAAGCCUUUGUAAAGCUCCUUCGACGAGUCGAGUAGUUUGGGAAUGCUGCUCUAAAUGGGAGGUACAUUUCUUCUAAAGCUAAAUAUUGGCCAGAGACCGAUAGCGCACAAGUAGAGUGAUCGAAAGAUGAAAAGCACUUUGAAGAGAGGGUUAAACAGCACGUGAAAUUGUUAAAAGGGAAGCGCUUGUGACCAGACUUGCGUCCGGUGAAUCACCCAGCUCUCGCGGCUGGGGCACUUCGCCGGCACAGGCCAGCAUCAGCUUGCCGUCGGGGACAAAAGCUUCAGGAACGUGGCUCCUCUCGGGGAGUGUUAUAGCCUGUUGUAUAAUACCCUUCGGCGGGCUGAGGUACGCGCUCCGCAAGGAUGCUGGCGUAAUGGUCAUCAGCGACCCGUCUUGAAACACGGACCAAGGAGUCAACCUUAUGUGCGAGUGUUUGGGUGUUAAACCCCUACGCGUAAUGAAAGUGAACGCAGGUGAGAGCUUCGGCGCAUCAUCGACCGAUCCUGAUGUUCUCGGAUGGAUUUGAGUAAGAGCAUAUAGGGUUGGACCCGAAAGAAGGUGAACUAUGCGUGUGUAGGGUGAAGCCAGAGGAAACUCUGGUGGAGGCUCGCAGCGGUUCUGACGUGCAAAUCGAUCGUCAAACAUGCGCAUGGGGGCGAAAGACUAAUCGAACCUUCUAGUAGCUGGUUUCCGCCGAAGUUUCCCUCAGGA
rnacentral:rRNA from 1 species